rnacentral:rRNA from 1 species
GACAGAGGCCUCAAGCGUUAGGCGGAAUCACUGGGCUUAAAGCGUGUGUAGGCGGAUCGUUAAGUGUCUUGUGAAAUCCCACGGCUCACCCGUGGAACUGCUGGGCAUACUGGCGAUCUUGGGCCAACUAGGGGCAACUGGAACAAGCGGUGGAGCGGUGAAAUGCGUAGAUAUCGCUUGGAACGCCAAAGGUGAAAACAGGUGCUGGGGUUGUGCCGACGCUGAGACACGAAAGCCAGGGGAGCAAACGGG